UACAGAGACUGCAAGCGUUAUUCGGAUUCACUGGGCGUAAAGGGUGCGCAGGCGGCCAAGUGUGUCAGAUGUGAAAUCCCGAGGCUCAACCUCGGAACUGCGUCUGAAACUACUUGGCUAGAGUACUGGAGAGGGUAACGGAAUUCACGGUGUAGCAGUGAAAUGCGUAGAUAUCGUGAGGAACACCAGAGGCGAAGGCGGUUACCUGGACAGUUACUGACGCUCAGGCACGAAAGCGUGGGGAGCAAAAGGG
rnacentral:rRNA from 1 species